GACGAACCGUGCGAACGUUGUUCGGAAUCACUGGGCUUAAAGGGCGCGUAGGCGGGUCACCAAGUCCGGGGUGAAAUCUUUCGGCUUAACCGGAAAACUGCCUUGGAUACUGGUGAUCUCGAGGGAGGUAGGGGUCUGUGGAACUGCUGGUGGAGCGGUGAGAUGCGUUGAUAUCAGCAGGAACGCCGGUGGCGAAAGCGACGGACUGGACCUCCACUGACGCUGAGGCGCGAAAGCUAGGGGAGCAAACGGG
rnacentral:rRNA from 1 species